UACAGAGGUCUCAAGCGUUGUUCGGAUUCACUGGGCGUAAAGGGUGCGCAGGCGGCCGUGUGUGUGAGGCGUGAAAGCCCGAUGCUUAACAUCGGAAUUGCACCUCAAACUACACGGCUAGAGCAUUGGAGAGGGUAGCGGAAUUCACGGUGUAGCAGUGAAAUGCGUAGAUAUCGUGAGGAACACCAGAGGCGAAGGCGGCUACCUGGACAAUUGCUGACGCUCAGGCACGAAAGCGUGGGGAGCAAAAGGG
rnacentral:rRNA from 1 species